CCUACGGGUGGCUGCAGUGAGGAAUAUUGGUCAAUGGGCGGGAGCCUGAACCAGCCAAGCCGCGUGCGGGAAGAAGGUACAGCGUAUCGUAAACCUCUUUUGUCAGGGAACAAAGGCGGGGACUAGUCCCCGGAUGAGGGUACCUGAAGAAAAAGCAUCGGCUAACUCCGUGCCAGCAGCCGCGGUAAUACGGAGGAUGCGAGCGUUAUCCGGAUUUAUUGGGUGUAAAGGGCGUGUAGGCGGGACUGCAAGUCAGAUGUGAAAACCAUGGGCUCAACCUGUGGCCUGCAUUUGAAACUGUAGUUCUUGAGUACUGGAGAGGCAGACGGAAUUCCUAGUGUAGCGGUGAAAUGCGUAGAUAUUAGGAGGAACACCAGUGGCGAAGGCGAUCUGCUGGACAGCAACUGACGCUGAGGCGCGAAAGCGUGGGGAGCAAACAGGAUUAGAUACCCGGGUAGUC
rnacentral:rRNA from 1 species